GUCUACGGCCAUACCACCCUGAACACGCCCCAUCUCGUCUGAUCUCGGAAGCUAAGCAGGGUCGGGCCUGGUUAGUACUUGGAUGGGAGAAAAUCAUCCUCUUAACAUUUAAAAAUAAUUACAAUUGGAAGUCGGGCA
rnacentral:rRNA from 1 species